AUUGAACGCUAGCGGCAUGCUUUACACAUGCAAGUCGAACGAGUGGCGGACGGGUGAGUAAUGUAUGGGAACGUGCCCGGUGGAGGGGGAUAACUACUGGAAAGGGUGGCUAAUACCGCAUACUAUUGGAGCGGCCGAGAUGGGAUUAGCUAGUAGGUGGGGUAAUGGCUCACCUAGGCGACGAUCCCUAGCUGGUCUGAGAGGAUGAACAGCCACACUGGGACUGAGACACGGCCCAGACUCCUACGGGAGGCAGCAGUGGGGAAUAUUGCACAAUGGGCGCAAGCCUGAUGCAGCCAUGCCGCGUGUAUGAAGAAGGCCCUAGGGUUGUAAAGUACUUUCAGUCGGGAGGCGUUACCGACAGAAGAAGCACCGGCUAACUCCGUGCCAGCAGCCGCGGUAAUUC
rnacentral:rRNA from 1 species